rnacentral:rRNA from 1 species
UACAGAGGGGGCAAGCGUUGUUCGGAAUUACUGGGCGUAAAGGGCGCGUAGGCGGCCGCCUAAGUCAGACGUGAAAUCCCUCGGCUCAACCGGGGAACUGCGUCUGAUACUGGGUGGCUUGAAUCCGGGAGAGGGAUGCGGAAUUCCAGGUGUAGCGGUGAAAUGCGUAGAUAUCGGGAGGAACACCAAUGGCGAAGGCAGCUUGCUGGGACGGUACUGACGCUGAGACGCGAAAGCGUGGGGAGCAAACAGG